CAGAAGUGUAUUAUUAAUUGUCUACGGGCAGAGACAUCAAACGUUCAAGGCUUGUGGACCCGGAGCUAGUUGGUGUGCAAAACGGAACCCUGUGGUUUGGCAGGUCGGGUUUCUUCGGCUUUUUUCGACGUUUCACGUCACAGUUGCGUCACAGUCAAAGUUGUUCGACCGAAGUCAGAUGAAGAAGAAGGGCAAGACGUGCACCUCUGACGGGGGUGAUGGAUGACUGCUUCUGUGACAUCGAGAGCAUCGACUCCUUCAACAACAUUAAGAUCUACCCCCAUGCCAAGAGGCUGACCGAGAGAGACUUCUUCAGACACUACCGGCCUGCUGCACCUCCAUCCCGUCAUCGACAGGAGGCGGGUGGGGCGCUCCCAAAGAGGCUUCGACCUGGAGCACACCGCGGGGCUCCUGGAGGAGGGCGCUGUGGUGUGCCAGGAGACGGAUCUCCUCUGGCUCCUCCUCCUCAUCGGAGCCCUCAUCGGCGGCGCCGUCGUCGUCGUCGUCCUAUUCCUCCUCCUCGCCCCCAUCCAGAGCGUCGGGAUCCGGCUUUUGCUCAGCGCCCGACUGGGAGUGCAGGUACUCUACCCCCAAGAGUUCCCCUGCAGAGAGAAACACACACACACAUUAGCAGAUGCCUCAAGACAGCUGCAGCGAACACUGUCGCUAAUCUCUUAUCAGGCCUCGACAUUAACGGUUGCCCGCUUGCCCGGGGCAACUAAAAGUAAUAUUUGGGCAAGUUGAGAUUGAUUUCUGGUUGCCCGAACGGGCAAGUGGAUGUUUAUUAUAAAGGCUACUUAUUCAAGUGUUUUUAUAAACUGCAGAACAACCUUUUGUUGCCCGAAAUCACACAAAAAGAAGUAUUUGCAAUUGAUCAGCGCCCUGUAUUCUCUUCUCUCGGAAAGCGAGUUAACAGACGCGCAUCGCUUCAGCGCGAAUAUAGACCCACCUUCUGUCACUCACUCGCAGUGCGGUCUCUGGCAGUGAUUCGAAGGUGUUAGCUAAAGGUUAGCCAACACAGCUAGCAUCUCAAGUGCAGCGCCUCCGCAAACGGUUUAGGUAGAUUGGUAAAUGGAGUAGUGAUGGAGGAGUGUGGUUUGGAAGUACUUUGGAAUGAGGCAAAUUACCAAGGAAAGUCAUAUGCAAGAACACGGUUUUGGGUUUCAUAACUGUGCACAUGCACAGCAAUAGCGAUCUUUUUCAAGAAAAUGGACCCUCACAAACUGUAUAUUACAUGAAAGCUGAGCCUCCACUUAUUCCAACAGUCCAAACCAUAUCAUUCUGUGACUAAAACUCGCAAAUAUAUCAGGUGUCAAAAAAAUGCGGCGACAGUUCAUUGCACCUGCAAAACAGAUAACACUUAAUGGAACUAGGGAUCGACCUAUACGGUUUUUUUGGGCCGAUACGAUACCGAUAUUUUUUCAUCAGCCUUAGCCGAUACCGAUUUUCUUCAGCCGAUAUUUAGAGCCGAUACUGCUUUUGCUCCCUCAAUCAUAAAAAUUAGCAAAAAUAAAAAUUAUUAACCCUUUUUUAUUUUUAUUGUAAUUUUUUUUCGUUUUCGGCGCCCCCCGCGGAUGACGGCGCUGUCAUGCCAAAUUUGUACCGGCUGCCAAAUUUGUACCGGGCGCGUCAUCAAUACGUAAUCCAUUCCAAACCUGCCUGGAAACCGAUGAUCGCGUCGUCCGUUGUCGGGCAGGUUUCAAGAAACAUUCGCGCUCAUGUUGCCAAAGACGAAAUAACAUAAUACAGUUAACGGAUCGCUAGAUAACACUUGUUUUUACUUUAUGUAUUGCAUUUAAUUGUUUAAUCGAAUUUAGCUAGUAACCUGAGUGUUUAAAGCGGGUUUCAAAAAACAUUUGCGCUCAUGUUGCCAAAGACAAAAUAACAUAAUACAGUUAACGGAUCGCUAGAUAACACUUGUUUUUACUUUAUGUAUUGCAUUUAAUUGAUUAAUCGAAUUAAACUAGUAAACUGAGUGUUUAAAGCGGGUUUCAAAAAACAUUCGUGCUCAUGUUGCCAAAGACGAAAUUACAUAAUACAGAAAACGGAUCGCUAGACAACACUUGUUUUUGGUGUGAAUGCUGCAAACAUUCACAUCUUUGAAAUCCUAUAAAUGUAUUGGUGUGAAUGCUGCAAGCAUUCACAGCUUUGAAAUCCUACAUAUUUGGUGUGAAUGCUGCUAGCAUUCACAGCUUUGAAAUCCUACAUAUUUAUUUUUGGUGUGAAUGCUGCUAGCAUUCACAGCUUUGAAAUCCUACGUAUUUAAUUGGUGUGAAUGCUGUAGCAUUCACAGCUUUGAAAUCCUACAUAUUUAAUUUUAUUAUUUUCGUUCUUCCGCCACUUUUUCUUU
ensembl:lncRNA